UAUUAAAAUUUUUAAAAAAAAUAUUUUAAAAGUGUGGCCUAAAUUUUCAUUAAAAAAUUUUCCUCUCCGUACAAAAUAUUUUACUCUCCCUCCAAUUUAUUAAUUAGCCAAAAAUAAAUGAGUAAAGAAAAUAUUUACUAAAUAUAUUGAUCUCUUUUUCCAAAUAUCUCACAGAUCUCAUAACUCACAAAACCCUCUUAUCUCUUUGCCAUUUUUCUCUUCAAAUCCAUCGAAUCCAUUGAAGAUUUUUGCCCGAAAUCGUCAAAUUUCGCCUAAUUUCAGCUCUUUUAGAUCUUUAUGGGAAGAUUUUUCUGCAGAAAGAGUCCUAUUGAUGCAAUUAGGCGGUGCUGAGUGCACCUUGUUUCCCUUAUUUGUACUAUUCACAGCUUUACACCUGAGAUGAAGCAAUAUAUGAAGAUGAUAUCCCAUCACCACAAAAUUGUACAUGGUGCAUUUAUCUAUAGUAUAAAACCAUUAGCAAGGAUGUCAUUGGGUUUACCAGUGGCAGCCACCGUCAACUGCGCCGACAACAUUGGAGCAAAGAACUUGUACAUCAUUUCAGUGAAAGGUAUCGGUGCAAGGCUUAACAGGUUACCAUCAGCUUGUGUAGGUGACAUGGUUAUGGCUACAGUGAAGCAGGGGAAACCGUGGCACCUUUUCAUGUACUUUGAAAGCGGGUGAACUUUUUUCCACUCCAUAUGGUUCAAAUGAUGAUUGGUAACACUCUUUACUUUAAGCUCUUAUUACUAAUAUAUAGAAGUGUGAUCAAGUAGCAGGUGGAAGCUAGCAGGUGGAGGUUGUCCUGCCAGCUUCCCCAGGGUUAGUUUGGUAAUUUCGCUAGGGGCAAUUUGAGUUGGUACACGUUACAACAGCUGUCCUUUAUAUACUACGUGUAUUUCCAGAAAUGAGAAAUACAACAACUCAAGCUUUGGUUGUCUUACUAAAAAAACAAAAAUUCAUUCUCAGACCUCUGAUAAUCUUCCUGUUCUUCUCAGAUUUUCAAUCCAAAGAGUGUAAGUUCUCUUCGUUGUAGAUUUUCCCCUUUUCUUACAUAGUAGUAAAACUAAUAGAAAACUCCAGUGGUUUGCUACUUGGAAUUCUAAUUUUAUCGUCUGUCAUUCUUCGUUGCUGGAUUCUUGUGACUGAUAUAUUAGUAAUUUUAUCGCUUCUGUGUUCCUAUAUUAAACAAACAUUUCUGAUAUAUUUGUCAAUUGUUUAGGAGACUGUUUCUGUAUUUUAACAUCUGUACUCUACCUUACAGCUUUUGGUAAAGAAAUUCCCAACCUCGAAGCUUCCAAUUCGACAGUCUCUGGACCAACAAAAUGGACCAGAAACUUCAUGUGAACUCCAUAACAAAAGAAACUACAGGCUGGAACUGUUAGGUUCAGGUAGUAGAUAGGUUUCAGCCUCGCCAGAGCAACGACUCCUCCGUCCACUUCCAAACAAUACUGGUUUAAGAUGAAAGCGUGGUUAAACCCAAAACUGAAUGUGGUCAGGUCAGGUGGUGUGCCAUGUACAGCUAAAUUUUUAUUGCCUCCACCAACUUCAUCGCACGGUAUAGCAUGUACAGAGUCAUCUGUGUUAUCCCAGCUUCCAGGGGAUGCUAAGGCUUCGGCUAUCAAGGCAGCUCCUUCACGAACAACUGGUAAAGAAAGAGCUUGGAGACUUUUGAAGAAGGGAUUGUUCAUGGUUAAGAAUGAUCUGCUUGAGCUUCUCUCUUCUAGAUCUGAUAAGAAGUAUAGUUUUGGUUCAGAUGCUGCCCGACUCCAGACUGGCAAUUGUCAGGCUUGUGUCCAUCUUAAUAUUCACCAUCCAUAAUGCGAUUAGCGGAAGUGAUAAUCCCCAAACCCUAGUUUAGGGGAGUACACUUGGUAUUUUUUUCAGGUAAGGUGGUUUUUAAAGGAAACAUUAGGUGAAUCUGUUUGUGUUCUAUACAACAACAUAGUAUGUCAUUCAACUAGAGAAGAUCAUAGUUCAACUCACAAAUCAUCAAGGAUAUGAAUAAUAAUGUAUAUUGUGAUCGAGGACGUCGCAAAGCCUAGAUUAAGCAUGGAGUCGGUGUAUUUCUCGAAGGAAACAUGAUGAAAAUUUGCGUGUAUUAUAAUUUUUGAGUUAUUUUUAUCUAACAUAGUGUUUUGAGAUAAUCUAAAUAGAAUAAUGAUGUAUAAUAUGACUAGGGGAUGUAUGAAAAUAUAUUGUAUUUUUCAAUCAAAAUUUGUAGUAAAUAUUAAUCGUAUAAAAUAGACAAGAAUGCUAUGUUUUAAAUGUGUGGUCAUUAGGAGCAGGGAUAUAUAUUGUGCGACUUAUUUAGAUGUAUAUGUACAAAUUAGCAAAGGCAACACUUUGUAAAUGUUGCUUUAGAGAAGAUAUUAAUGGUUACACUUCAAAAGUGUGGCCUUAAGAAAGUAAAAAUCAUGCUUUUUAAGUGUUGUUAUAGAGAUGCUAUAAAAGGCUAUGCUUUGAAGCGUGCCCAAUAGUAAAACAAAGGCAACAUUUUGUAAGUGUUGUUAUAGAGGUGCUACAAAAGGUUACGCUUGUGAAGUGUGCCCAAUACCAAAACAAAGGCAACACUUGUAAGUGUAGCUUUAUCAAAUAAAAGUGUUGUCAAUGAGAAACUAUAAAACAUGACCUUUAUACCUUAAUGGCCAUGCUUUUUAAGUGUAGCUGAUAUGGCAACACUUGAAAAGCGUGGCCUUUGAUCAAAGGUUACGCUCUUUAGGCCACCCCCCAAAAAGUGUUGUCUAAAGUCCAAAAGUGUAGCCUCUGAUCAAAGGCCAUACUUUCUGCUAUUUUACCUUUAUACCUUAAUGGCCAUGCUUUUUAAGUGUAGCUGAUAUGGCAACACUUGAAAAGCGUGGCCUUUGAUCAAAGGUUACGCCUCUUUAGGCCACCCCCCAAAAAGUGUUGUCUAAAGUACAAAGUCAUACUUUCUGCUAUUUUAGGCCAUGCUUUACAAGAGUGGCCGUAGGCCAAAAAUGUUGUAGUGACCCGAAGGGGGUAUUGGGCCAAUUAAAAAACAUGUCCUAGAUCUAUUGACCCCGAGUCAACUAUAGACGAAUUAUAUUUAUGUGUUGAAGAAAUAUCUGUUUAUUUAAUUCAAUCCAUUAUCCUUUGGGAGUCAGGAGUAGGCUUUCUUUACUUACUUUCAUGUAAGAAUGCCUCAAUCACACACCAAUUGAAGAAGAAAUUGAAGCAAGCCAAGAAAGAAAUUGAUCGAUUUGGACGGUUGCAUCUGGAGCAUAGUUAUAUGAAAAUUGCUUGAUCAUCAAUGUAUAUCGCCAAUGACAAGAAAUGGACAAAGCAAAGAGGGCGAAGGCCGAUUGAAGAGCAUUCAUGAACUAGUAUUUCCUAUCCCCUGCGUGGGACAUUGUUCUUUUUCUCAUGUUAUUUUCCCUUUCCCUAAAGAUUGUAUCCCUUUUGUGCAACUUUUGUAGGCAUUUAUGCAAUUUAUGUACACCUAUGAAGGUUUUUGGGAGGAUAAUGGAUAGGUUUUAAAAA